AUGUCAAAGGAAUCAGAAGACAGAUGCGAGAGACUACAGCGAGCGUUAUUGGAGUGCCACCGUCGUGUGCCGUCCGGCACGGGUCAAAACUUCGCCUGCCGUCAUCUUAACAACGCCUUCGCUAUCUGUGUUGUUUCUCUCGCGUGCCCCGAGGAAUCCGAGGCUGUGAGGAAUCUCUGCUCCAGCGCAGGCACCGCUCUUAAGCGGCGGCAAUGUCAACAAGCUCAGAUUUCUCUCUCCGUUUGUCUUGAUUCUCCAAGUGUGAAGAUUGAAGAUUCUUAA